rnacentral:misc_RNA from 1 species
UCGCGGCUUAUCACCGGCAGUCCCCUUAGAGUGCCCAACUAAAUGAUGGCAACUAAGGGCGAGGGUUUCGCUCGUUAUAGGACUUGACCAAACAUCUCACGACACGAGCUGACGACAGCCAUGCAGCACCUGUCUCCGGUCCAGCCGAACUGAAGAACUCCAUCUCUGGAGUCCGCGACCGGGAUGUCAAGGGCUGGUAAGGUUCUGCGCGUUGCGUCGAAUUAAACCGCAUGCUCCUCCGCUUGUGCGGGCCCCCGUCAAUUCCUUUGAGUUUCAAUCUUGCGAUCGUACUUCCCAGGUGGAAUACUUAACGCUUUCGCUUGGACCCUAACAGUAUAUCGCUAAGGUCGAGUAUUCAACGUUUAGGGCGUGGACUAC